CUCUCCUGAUGGCCCCAGGAGGAUAAAAGCCAGAAGGAUUAUCUAGACUCAUUCAAAAAAAAUUCUGCCCUCUUCUCUGAGUUCCUCUGAUGGCUGAGGGUGAGUCUCCUUGUGGCUCUUCCUCCUCCAUGACGCUCUUAUUGACCAGCGCUCCUCGGGGUCUGUGCUCCUGACCAUGGUGUGUCACCACAGCUGGGUGAAGCCCCCACCUCACAAAUGUCUUUGUUGUCACUGCAGCUACUCUCUCAUGAGGUCUCAGACAGACAUUUGGGAGCAUUGGCCCUUGCAGUGUGAGUGAGGCAGAGAGGGUGUGACCUGCCUCAGCACCCGGAGACCCCACUCUGAAGGCUGGGGACCACCACUGUGGCGGUUUCUCCCACCACCAUCAUCUCCCCAUCGCCAGGACAAGCACAUCAGGAGGAUAUGGCUCUGAUCUGAGUGAGGCAAUGGUAGCAUAGGUGUGGAGAGAAGACCUAUUGGGAAUCUGGGAGCGAGGAAUGAAAGAUGAGUUUAUGACUCAAGGAAUGCAGGGAUACCAGCAGAUGCCCACAUCCCUGCGGUUCUUUCUCUGUCAGUAUCCUUGGAGGGAAGUUUUCUCUGUCAGUCAUCUUAGAAGGAGAACUUGGACACGGUGGCUUUGGAUUAGGAGGUAAACAUCGGACAGGAGAGCUGAGAAGAGUGAAAUCCCAAGGCGCAGGUCACAGGAGCUCAACAAAUCUGUGACUUCAUCUCACCAGGCCCUCCCUGAGAAACUCUGGAGAAAGGGUAGCCAGCCACUCCUCUGUAGACCCAACUCCCUGGGUCCUGGUCCCUGGAGAAGCUGCACCAGAGUGCCAUGGUGACAGCGGUCACGUGAGAGAUGUAGGCCCCCACCUCUGCACCCCGAGGACUCCCUGUACCACAGGUAGAAGGAGGUUUGGGAGCAGGACCCCUGGGCUUUCAUGCAGGGCCUCUUAAUUGUCUUGGGGACAGACACAGCUGAGGGAUGGUGUUUCUGAUUUCAGCCCUCCACAAAGGGCUAGUCUAGCCCAGCCUGGGGGGGAAGCUUAGGGGGAGCGGCUACAAGACCAAAGGGGAGGAAACACCAGAAGCCACAGAGGAAGGAACAGGUGCUGAGAGAGAGAAAUGCUGCUGGCCUCCAGGCAACAAUCAAAAUUAAGGAAAUGCUCAAAUAAAUGACAGGAUGGGGGCAUCUGGAAAGAACACAGGAACCAACCUGGGGGAGCCCUCAGUGGCCAAAGCUGGAACAAUCUGAGCAAUACAAUAAAUAAUGUAGUGUUGGGUUGUUACCCAAAACAUAAAAAUUGAUGUUUGAAUAAGUAAGUAAAUGGGGGGAGGGGAUCCUCCUUUCCCAAAAAUUUCAUUUAUCUUAUGUAGAUAUUCCUCCUGGGGGGUGGAGCUUCUUUGUUCCCUUUCCACACAUGAGAAUGAACUUGACUUAGUGACUGAACUCCAAAGAACAGAGUUUGGAAAGGCAAAAAUAGUAAUACUAGGGACGCCUGGUUGGUUCAGUCGGCUAAGUGUCUGACUUGGGCUCAGGUCUUGAUCUCACAGCUCUCUGCUCUCAGUGUGGAACCUGCUUCAGUUCCGUUUGUCUCCCUCUCUUUCUGUCCUUCCCCAGCUCAUGCUUUCUCUCUGUCUCAAAAACAAAAAAUACAAAAAAUAGUAAUAUUACCAUGGAGAAACUGUGUACCUUAGCCAUGUGAUCAAGGUAAACAUCACCAGUGAUGUGUAGAUUUAUGUGCUACCUGCUAUGACGCAAAGAGAAGCCACUUCACCUCUGUGGUAUUCUUUCCAGAGGCUCAGAGCUCUAGUCUAGUCAUGAGAAAAUGUCAGUCAAACUGAAAUUGAGUGGUAUCCUAUGAAAUACCUGACCAGUAUUGCUCAAGGUAUUCACACAAGGAAAGCCUGAAAAACUGUCACAGACUGGGGAAGACUCAGGGACAGGAUAACUAAAUGCAGUGUGAUUCCCUGGAUUGGAUCCUGGAGGAGAAAGAGGACAUUAACAGAAAAAUCCAGUGAAAUCCAGAGUUUAUUUAGCAGAAAUGUCCCAAUAUUUGUCUCUCAGUUUUGACAAUGUAUCAUAUAUUGACCUACAUAAAAAGGUAAACUGAGGUGAGCUCAAAUUACGAGAAACUGGGUUUAUUCGGAAUGAAUGGAGGAAUUGCCUUUCAGGAAAUGCAUGCUAUAGCAAGCUACAGGCGUGUCUUCUGAGAGUUUGGGCAGACUAAUUUAUGGGUGAGGGGUGCAAAGAGAAGGCAGUCCAGCCAGAGUCCAAGCAGUAAGUUCGUUGGCUUGAGGAUGGGGAGAUGAUCUUUGUGGAUGUUCAUUGGUCAGGACAUAAGUCUCAGUCUUCUGUAAAUUGGGCAUUUAUGGGAAAACAGUCUUUCAGUUCCUAAGUUCCAUUCUUUUUUUUUUUUUUUUUUUUUUUUUUUUAAUUUUUAAGGUUUAUUCAUUUUCAGAGACAGAGAGACAGAGGGUGAGUGGGGGAGGGGCAGAGGGAGAGGUAGACACAGAAUCUGAAACAGGCUCCAGGCUCUGAGCUGUCAGCACAGAGCCUGAUGGGGGGCCCGAACUCACAGAAGGCUUGAUCAUGACCUGAGCGGAAGUUGGACGCUCAACCGACUGAGCCACCCACGCGCCCCCCUAAGUUCCAUUCUUCUGAAGGUGCACACAUGAGAUUCGCCAAUUCAUAUCCUCCAGUUCCAUUUUAGAUUGGAACCCUUCACACAUGUAAUGUAACAUGAUAACAUCAGGGGAGACCGAAACUGGGUGAGGGGUGUACAGGAGCUCUCUAUACUAUUUUCACAAUUUUUCUCGAAAUCUGAAAUUAUUCCAAAUAACAAGCUUAUUAAAAAUAUAUAUCUAGGAGAUUAUU